rnacentral:rRNA from 1 species
AGAGUUUGAUCCUGGCUCAGAACGAACGUUGGCGGCGUGGAUUAGGCAUGCAAGUCGAACGAAUCCCUGACUUCGGUCGGGGGGAAGUGGCGAAAGGGGCAGUAAGGCGUGGACAACUCACCCUGGGGAUGAGGAUAGCCGACCUAACGGUCGGGUAAUACUCAGCGAUCUGACGAGGCCGCAUGGUCCUGUCAGCAAAUGAAUUUCGCCCUGGGAGAGGUCCAUGUAGCACUAGCUUGUUGGUGAGGUAACGGCUCACCAAGGCCGANAUGCUUAGCAGGUGUGAGAGCAUGACCUGCACCACUGGGACUGAGACACUGCCCAGACACCUACGGGUGGCUGCAGUCGAGAAUCUUCGGCAAUGGACGAAAGUCUGACCGAGCGACGCCGCGUGUGCGAUGAAGGCCCUCGGGUUGUAAAGCACUGUCAGAGGGGAGAAAAACUGAUCGAUCCUC